rnacentral:lncRNA from 1 species
CCCUCUGAGGUCAAAUCAUUGGGUUUGUGGCCAUGAGACCACAGACUUUGCCUGGCUUCCAGUGACUGUCCAAGAUGACCGUGGAGUGCACCGCCUGUACUUGGACAUCACCGUCUUUUCGGAUCCAUACCUGUCAUCCUUGGAAUUUCCCCUGUAUCCAAACCUGUUCCUGAUACAGAUAACCCUAAGGAAUAUCUUGGAUGUCUUCACGGGGCUUAUGACUUAUUCUGAGGUUUGCAAAAUAAAGGCCCCCAGCUGAGCAAAGAUAGGGCUACAGCGCCGAGGGAACAGCUGCCGGACCCACCGGAGAGGCCUCCUGGAGCAUGCCGGGACCCCCUCCACCCCCUGGCUUUGGCUGCAUCCAUGGCUAGUUUGCCUGAACUAUAUCUGAGCCACUGAGAGUAUUUAUUAAGCAGAGAAUAAUUUUGAGUUUCACUUUUAUAACUUUUGUUUCAAAAGUUGUUUGUGGAUAAUUUAAUGAAAUGACUGUAAACCAGAAUUCCUCUUUUCAUUAUUUCUUUGUGUCGAUAUAAAAAGAGUUGAUGAUUUUAAAAGCCAGUGAGAUGCCCCUGUCUGUGGAUGUCAGCGGGAGCAUGGGGUCUGAAGCCUUUCUUUGGUGGCUCUCCAGGAA